rnacentral:rRNA from 1 species
CGUAGGAGACGAGCGUUAUCCGGAUUUACUGGGCGUAAAGCGUGUGCAGGCGGUUCGGCAAGUUGGAUGUGAAAUCUCCCGGCUCAACUGGGAGGGGUCGUUCAAAACUACCGAACUUGAGGUCAUCAGAGGAAGGUGGAAUUCCGGGUGUGGUGGUGAAAUGCGUAGAUAUCCGGAGGAACACCAGUGGCGAAGGCGGCCUUCUGGGAUGAUCCUGACGCUCAGACACGAAAGCUAGGGGAGCGAACGGGAUUAGAGACCCCGGUAGUCCUAGCUGUAAACGAUGUAGACUUGGCGUCGGAGGGUUCAAAACCUUCGGUGUCGUAGCUAACGCGAUAAGUCUACCGCCUGGGGACUACGGCCGCAAGGUUA